AGUAAUUCUUUGGAAUAUGAAGUAUGUAGAAGCGAAAAUUAAUAUUCAUCAAGGAUAUGCUAUCAACGCUAGUAUAUUAUCCGCACUUUAUUUAAAAAAAAUUGACGGGGAAAAGGAUAAUUGGGGUGUGAAAUUUGAGAAAACAAAGGAUCAUCCAUCUUGUCUUGCUGCGGGAACUCUGUUGAUGGAAUUGGAUCCUAUUGCAGUUGUUAUAUACGGGAAUAAAGAUUAUUUCAAGCAAAAUAUAUCAAUCAAUCCUGCGUGUUCUUUUUGCUGUAGUACCUCCGAAUCCGUUGGUCAUUCUCUUAGCGUAUGCGGGGGUUGUAGGGCUGUUUAUUUUUGCUCUAGGAAAUGUCAGCAUAAGGCAUGGAUCUCAUGGCAUAAAUUUGAAUGCUCAUUUAUAAGUAACAAAAAAAAAAAAAAUUCUUUACAUGAGAAUAAAAAGUUAUCGUAUACCAUCCGUCUUUUGUAUAUUCUGUUGAUGUUUAUCGAAAAAUCAAGCGAUGAAUUGAUAAACAACGAUUUUACUGAUUUCUUAAAGAACCUUUUUCAAAAACAUUCAAGCAUUGAAGAUCAACUUAAGUACUAUGAAAAAUAUCAGAAGACAUGUUCAACUGAAUUAUUAAAAAGCUUUUACCCGAGGUCGUCAUUGAAAGAUUUUAACAGAAUAAAAGGAUCAUGUGCGAAAACAAAAGGCUUUUUAGCUGAAUUUCUCUAUUUAUUACGCCAUUGCAGUGAAACUAUUCAAACCAAUUUUUUUUCAUUAGAUACGGCGGAACUACUCUUUUAUAAAACAAAGUAUAAUGCAGUAACCAUAACAGAUGCCGGUUUGAGUUCAGUGGGUCUUGGAUUGUACCCUUUUAUGAAUUUUAUUAACCACUCGUGCCACCCAAAUUGCACUCUUAUUUUUAAAGGAACAAAAUUGUAUGUUGUAGCGCUUUGUGAAAUCAACGCGGAAGAUGAGUUAACUAUCGGAUAUACAUCUCCAGUUCAAUCGUUUGCAAAACGUCAAAAAAUAUUAUUUGAUCAAUACAUGUUUACUUGUAACUGCGAAUUUUGUAACCCAGCUUCACAACUUACGAAAGCUUAUAAUUUAGGAUGCGAAGAAGAAAUGUGUCGUUUUUGUCUGCUAUCGAUUCCUCUGCAAGGCUCACUCGUGAUUGGGUCUUAUGACUGGUUUUCUCAAUUAGCCAGACCUAGCUCAGAGGACUUUUGCGAAAUAACUAAGUGUUUUUUAAACAAGCCAUUCUAUGUUGGGUAUCGCGAAACCACAGAUACGUAUGAGUGCCGUCGUUGUGGAAGGACGACGUUGCAAUUUUUUAAAAACUUGCAGAAUUGGGGUAUAAAGCAAAUGGACGAAAAACAAAUUGCUUCUUGGUUUGACGAAUUGCUAUGCUACAUAACAAAAAAAAACAUUGAGGAAUCUAUCAUUUUACUGUAUGGGUAUCCGGAAGAAAAUGGAUGGAAGACAUGUAUAGCUACUGCUCGUUUGCAAAGGUUUCGUGAAUGUAUUGGAAAAAUGACGGAUUUUUUAUAUUUAUUAACAAAAGAGUCAUCAAUGGGACCUCCAUUAAAGACACUGUAUAUUUCAUUAAUGACUCUUGAUAUUAUAGUUAACAAAUUAGCGGCAGGUAAUAAGGAUUUAGUAACUAAUUUAUUACAGUUACGUCUCUCCAAUUAUUUGAGGUUUGUAUAAAAAUAUGUGACAGCGUGAUUGAACUAGUAUGCAAAUAAAGUUGAUGUACCCUUUUAAGUGAAGUGUGAGAAACAUGCAAUUUUUCUCUGCAAUAAAAACAUUUCUUCUCUACAAGCGCACACUCCGUUUUAUCUGUGCGAUUUUUAUUAGAACGUAGGAAUUUUCGGAAAUUACUUGUCAGCGAUUCACGCUCAACUAACAUAGAAAACAUUCUAGACAAGUAAAACCUAUGCCAUCUACAUGAGGAGAGAAUCAAUUAUCUAUAUAUUUUUUCUAUACGAUUCUGAGCCAAUGAAAGAC